rnacentral:rRNA from 1 species
GCUGACGAGCGGCGGACGGGUGAGUAAUGCUUAGGAAUCUGCCCAGUAGUGGGGGAUAGCCCGGGGAAACCCGGAUUAAUACCGCAUACGCCCUUUGGGGGAAAGCAGGGGAUCUUCGGACCUUGCGCUAUUGGAUGAGCCUAAGUCGGAUUAGCUAGUUGGUGGGGUAAAGGCCCACCAAGGCGACGAUCCGUAGCUGGUCUGAGAGGAUGAUCAGCCACAUCGGGACUGAGACACGGCCCGAACUCCUACGGGAGGCAGCAGUGGGGAAUAUUGGACAAUGGGGGCAACCCUGAUCCAGCCAUGCCGCGUGUGUGAAGAAGGCUUUCGGGUUGUAAAGCACUUUCAGUGAGGAGGAAGGCUUUCAGAUUAAUACUCUGGAGGAUUGACGUUACUCACAGAAGAAGCACCGGCUAACUCCGUGCCAGCAGCCGCGGUAAUACGGAGGGUGCAAGCGUUAAUCGGAAUUACUGGGCGUAAAGCGCGCGUAGGUGGUUUGAU